GAGACCGGCGCACGGGUGCGUAACGCGUAUGCAAUCUACCUUUCACAAAGGGAUAGCCCAGAGAAAUUUGGAUUAAUACCUUAUAGUAAUACGACUUGGCAUCAAGAUGUAUUUAAAGAUUUAUCGGUGAAAGAUGAGCAUGCGUCCCAUUAGCUAGUUGGUAUGGUAACGGCAUACCAAGGCUACGAUGGGUAGGGGUCCUGAGAGGGAGAUCCCCCACACUGGUACUGAGACACGGACCAGACUCCUACGGGAGGCAGCAGUGAGGAAUAUUGGACAAUGGGCGCAAGCCUGAUCCAGCCAUGCCGCGUGCAGGAUGACGGUCCUAUGGAUUGUAAACUGCUUUUGUACAGGAAGAAACCCUUUCACGUGUGGAAGAUUGACGGUACUGUAAGAAUAAGGAUCGGCUAACUCCGUGCCAGCAGCCGCGGUAAUACGGAGGAUCCAAGCGUUAUCCGGAAUCAUUGGGUUUAAAGGGUCCGUAGGCGG
rnacentral:rRNA from 1 species